CAGACUCCACGCUGAGAUCAGAGCCUGACGCUGGGCUCGAUCCUACGACCCUGAGAUCAUGACCUGAGCUGAAACCAAGAGUCGGAUGCUCAACCGACGGUGCCACCCAGGAGCCCCUCUAUCCUGUAACAUUUAAAGACUCAUAAAUGAAUUUGGAAAGGAGAUAACAUAAAGGAGCCCUAUGGCCAUGUCAGAUCAUAGCAUCAUGGGCUGGGUACAGGCAUGGCCUUCCUGAUGUGGCCGGGACAUGUCCGCAGGGCCAGUGUUGCUGUGAAUCAGAACCAAUGGUUUUCUACUUCUCUCCAUCCUGAGAAAGAGUCUACCUGUGCUGAAUCAAAUGCGAGAGGCAGGUUGCUAUGAUUGAUAGUUGCGCUGCAUUUAUCAGGAAAGGCUUGACUGUGCUAUAGUAACAACCCGCCCACCACGUCCACCCUCAAGUCACAGUGGCUUAAACAAUAAAGUUUUAUUGCUUUUUUUCUUAUUUCUUUAAAGAUUUUAUUUUUAAGCAAUCUCUACACCCAACCUGGGGCUUGAACUCACACCCCGAGAUCAAGAGUUGCAUGCUCCCCUGACUGAGCCAGCCAGGGAUACCUAAAGGUUUAUUUCUUAUUCAUGUCACAGUCUGGGUGGAAAUUAGGCAGCUCUGCUGUUGAUUUCCAUCUAAGGAGUAAGUCCCUCCAUGGUGUGACCCUGUCAUCUUCAACACAGAGCUUUGUGGUUGCCAUAUUAGGGAAAAGAGAGUGUGGGUGGUCACCUGGGGGCUUGAGGCUAUACCUGGAGGUGGCAUUUAUCACUUCUCUAUUCCUUUCUUUGACAGAAAACAGUCAGAUGGUUUCAAAGUAAAGGAGGCUGGAAAUGUAGUCAGUGUUUUUUGGUACCAAGGAAGAGGACACGGAUGGGAGGAAUAUCCAGUCAUUUUUCCAGUGUAUGCAACGGAGGAGGAGGAGUUCUUCCUCAAAGCGAAAGCAUGGCUCUGCCUACCCAAAGCAUGGGAAUGUGGGACAGGCAGAAAUAAGGUUGAUUUUCAAGAACUGGCCAUUGGCUAAGGGAAUCAGGAAAAAGCAGGUAUAUUUUCUCCAGUCUCAUAAAGGAGCUAUUCCUGGAUCACAUUUGAGGUCAUUAAGUCUUCUUUGUUCACUGUUAGAUGAUUUCUUUUUUUUGGCCCAAUGCUAAGGCUUAUUUAUAAACAAACCUGAUAUUUAAUACACUCAGUUGAACUAACACAGAGCUGUGCUCAGAAUGGGCACUCCUUGAAGGGAGAAUCUAUGACAGGUUAUAAAAGAAAAUAUAAGUUAUAAAUUUUUACAAUCUGUUUUAGCCCCAGGCCCACCUUGCUUACUACUCUCUUUUCUUACACAGUAUGUGGGUGAUGGUAGAAAAGGAAAACUGGAAGAAGCCAGAGAGCUGACACUGAAUAGGGAGAAGAGAGAAAGCAGAGAGACUGCCAAGGUUGGAUUUAUGAGCAAGUCUUACAGAGCCUGGAGUGACGAGAACGGAGACGGGCUGGGGAGAAGAGCUUUGAGUUUUGCUGUGCACUACAGCGGUCUUUUUCUCUUGGCGGUUUUAGCAAACGCUGCAGCAGAGAUGUAAAUUGCCUUUCGAUGACUAUUGAUUUGAAAGUGAUAAGGAGAUGAGGGCUGUGAAGAUUUUCUGUUUCUUCAUGAGUCCAGCCAGUUUUUGUAAAUGGAGUUUUACUGUAACACAACCAUACUCAUUCACUGACAGACGAUUUAUGGCUGCUUUGAUACAACAAUGGCAAAGUUGCAUACUUGGGAUAGAGACUGUAUAGCACAUAAAGCCUAAGGUAUUUAUACGCUGCCCCCUUACAAAAGAAGUUUACUGACCCCUCUUGUAGAACAUCAGCCUUUUCAGGAAUGCAUCUGUUGCACAAUAGUAACUAUGCUUAUAUUUAAUGAGCAUCUGUUAGGUUGCACCAUAGUAAACUGCCAUUUGUGUGGGUAAGAAAAGGUCAGAUAUUGGUACUUACAUAUAUGGGCCAUGUAACAUAAGUUUCCAAGCAUAUGAAAAUUAACGGAGUACAGGCUAUGCCCUUAAGGAGCUACUGGGACACGCACACGCACACUCACACUGCUGAUGUCAGCGAAUGUAGUAAUUGCUAUUACAGAGGUACGGACUCAGUAUUUCAGGAGCACAGAGUAGUGUGUGGACAGUUCUUACCAGUAAAGGUGAGGGAAAGGACUAGAAGCUUGAGAGGCCUCCAGAGAAGUGGCUGUGUUCCUGGCUGCUCUGCAUUUGAGCUGUGCUUCAUAGCACAUGUAGGGUUUUAUCAGGUCAAAAGAAGCAUUCUCCAGUUUUCCUCGGGUCGGGGUGAGGUUGACAUUAAGGCAUAAGGAACAUGCUACAUUUCUUUUCUUCAAAUAGAAUUGCAAUUCAGUCCUGGAAAACAGUUGCAUAGAAUUAGAGGAUAUUAAUAAUCAAGUGAGCAUGGCUCCCUAAUUUUUAGAUGAAGGUUGAAGGCAAAGUGAUUUGUUCAAGGUCACCCGGCUGUUGACCAAUUAUUUUAUUGGCAGGACUAGAGCCUGUGUCUUCUAACCCCCAACUCAAGGCGAUUUCCAUUAGGCCACUUGGGUGUACAAGACAACAAGAGUCAGAGAAAUCACCUACUAGGGACACUGGUGGCAGACAGGCCUGGGUUUGAGUUCUGGCUCUGUCACUUACUGACUCUGUUAUUCGUCACAGUGUUCAGGAGCCAGAAUUGCUUCCUACAUGGACCUCUCAGAGUAGAGGUUCAGAGCUCAGAGCCUGAAACCAGACUCUGAGUUUCAUCCCAGCACCACUAACUAGCUGUGUGACCCUGGACACAUUACUUAACCUCUCUGGGCCAGUAAUAUGGAGAUAAUAGUAAUACUUACCUCACUGAACUAUAGGACUGAGUGAGUUUAGACCCAAAUGCAUACAUAAGGCACACGGAAAGAUGUCUGGGACAUGUAAAGUACUGUAUGCUAACAUUGUUAGAAGAAAAACAGUGGAUGGGGGCACCUGGGUAGCUCACUCGGUUAAGCGUCUCCCUCCGGUUCAGGUCACGAUCCCAGGGUCUUGGGAUCAAGGCCUGCAUCGGCCUCCUUGCUCAGCAGGGAGCCUUCUUCUCCCUGUGCUACUGCUCCCCCUGCUUGUGUGCACGCUCUCUCUCUCUCUCUCUGACAAAUAAAAUAAAAUAAGUUAAAAUAAAAUAAAGAAAAAAACAGUGGAUCGUAGGACUGUUCUAAGAACCAGCAAGAGUAAUUUAGCUGAAGCCUUUUUCCAAACUUGUAAAACAAAGCAAGUAGAAUAUAUUAUUAUUCUCUAUGUGAAUUAAGACUGGCAACCUGGAGAAUGAAGUUGAUGACUGUCAUUUCUUGCAGCCUCACUGUUUGCCAGGACUUGACUUCUAUUGUUUAAGCAUCACAAGACCCAGAGAUGGUUCUUAUUUUUGGCUGACAGUAGUGACUGAGGAGCAGAGCGUAAGAGGGAAGUACACAGACUCUGGGUCCAGGCUGCUGGGUCUGAAUCCUUGCUCAGCCUCUUACUGGCCGUGAACACAGAUGGAUGAGUGAUCGGGGAAGGUCUGAGCCAUGAAGUGAUGUUAGACUAAUCCACUUCACAUCCAGCCAGGGUCGCUGAGGCCACUUGGAUGUUGCAGUGAAAGGUUUUCAGAUAAGAACCAACACUCGUAUUCCUCCCUUAAGUGAUCCUCAGUGGCUUGUUGACUGAAAGGUCAAGGAGUUGCAGGCGUCCAGUCACACCACCUGGAGUAACAACAAAUUUGGACAUGCACAGGACGUGAUACCAGUGUCUUGAGUGCCAUUGACCAAAAGCUCUGGGAAGAUACCAUCAUUAAUGAGAUGCCUCAUAAUAUCAGAGACGUUAAGAUGUACCUCUUAGAACAGAUGAAAGAAGAGGUGUUCCAAGAAGAGAGCCGGUCCGUUGUAUGUCUUUACCUGGGAGGCGAGCCCCUUUCCUGGACUUUUUUGGGAGUUUCUUGGGAAGAGAAUACUAGAUGGGCCCUAAACAAAGUGAGGAUGGAGGGGGGCUAGUUCAUGCUGGGGGUGGGGCAGAAGUGAGAAGGGCAGAGAGAAGAGGGACAUCCCAAGUCUAGGAAGGUGGGCAGGUUCUGUGAGACGUUGUGAUGUGAGACAGGCUCCCUCACAGUCUUUGGGGGAUCAAGAUCUCAGUGUGGACAGUCAAGGUGCACCCCCAGAGGUAUUCUUAGACACUGGCCUUCCAGCAUCCUCUGGGGCUUCCAUGGCCAAGAAGGACCCAUCACAGUAGAGCUCCCUGAUUUCAGAAAGCAAAAUGGCUCCCAGAAUAUUCUGCUCUUUCAAACUUUGAAGCCCUUUCCUAGUCCUGGAAAGUGAGAGGAAACUCUGAUAAUGGCCAGAAUCGAGUAUUCCCACCUGGCCGAUGGAGCGAGGCUGGGAUUCACAUUUGAUUUAGAGAAGAUAAAUGUGACGGUUUUUGUCGACUUUAUUUAUGGAAUAAGAACUAAAUUCAUAGAUGUUACUUGUCUGUUACAUAUGUUAAAUAAGGUUUUUUUUAAAUUGAAAAUCUGCUCUGGAUGGAAAUAACCCUUGAGCCCAGCCUCAGUUCCCCCAGAACAUCUGUGUGUGGUUUCAUUGGGCUUCCUAUGGUAUUUCUCAGUGGGUCGCUAGAGGCAUCUGGUGCUGGAGAAAUUGUGACCAUUGCAGAUGGUGUGUGCGGUUGGCUCCCCCUGAUGUCAGUGGUGCCCCCUUGGUCACUAUGACAGCCCCAAGUACUGCCCACAUUUCUAAAUGGCCCCUGUCAGGGAAGCGCCGCCCCCCGCCUCCGGUGGAGAACCACUAGGGUGAUGGGCUACACCCAAGGCUUUGCUGAGAGACCUGAGCAACUCAUUUGAACUCUCUAGGCUUACAUUUCACUCAUCAUUGCCAUUGUGAUAAUUCAAAGAUAAAUUCUUAAUAGGGAUAGCAAGAAAGUAUUCGAGACAAAGGAACCACAAAACAAGUAACUGUGAAGCCUCUACUCUCUGCGAGAAAGCGUGGGAGAAAUCAAACAUGCAUCAUUAACAGUGCCGCAACGGCUUUCUUAGAAUUGCUACAAGUGCAAGGAAUUUUAAACAAGUGCUACUUAUCUGGGCUUCCAGAAUUUCGGGACGCGUUUCUUCCAGAAAGACAUUUUUUUCUUAUGUCAUUUCUGUAUCAGGGAAUUGGUUGAGUAGAAAGAACACCAAACUGAGAAGAAUGUGGGUUUCCUGGGAAGACUGGGAGAAUCUUUUGCCCCUCCAAACCCUCCCACCCCCAGUUUCUUCUCAGGCCUCGGCUCUGUUCUUUCUGUCUCUGUUUCCCCAUGUGGGGGUCUGACCAUCUCUGUGUCCAUCUCUCUUUCGGGGCACCUGCACUGUGUGUCUCCCUUUGCCCACCUUGCUGCCGACCCUCUGCCCCCCACCACCUGCUGCUUCUCUCUGUCCCCGUCUCUGCCCAUCUGCUCUGCCCCAUCUGCCCAGUUCACAUCCCACUCCCCUCCGUCUCCCCUCUGUCCUCUCAUCUCUGCCCACUUCCUGUCUCUUCCCUUCUCUGUCUCUGCUCCUCCUGCACCUCAUCUGCUCCAUGCACGUUCAGGCAUCUUUGCCACUUUCUCUGCCCUCCUCCUUCUCCUCGCUCCUCUGCCUAUCCUCUCUCCUUCCUCUCUCUCUCCCUCUCUCUCUCUCUCUCAUCCAUUAGGAAUAUUUUGUUGGUGGCUUUACUCAGUUUCAAGCAGUAAGCAUCUCUAGACCCCCUACACAUGCACAGCCAUUCUUCUACAGACCCAACCAGUCCCUUUUUGCAAGUGGCUCUUAGUGAAUCGGGUUUCAAAAACUUAAGGAAAAUUUUGUUUCGUAUGUAGCCUCAACCUGCACGUGGCUUUGAGUGUGGCCACCUGAAGGGGAAUGCUGGUGACCAGCUCGGUCUGGAUGGCUGAGCCACAAAGGGAGAGGGAGGCAGGAGGCUGGUGCCUCAGUGGGCAGAGUGGGCAGGGGGCAUGUGACUGUGGGAGGCAGGGUAGUGCCACCAAGGGGGCAGAACCUGCUCUCCGCCCCCUGGGAAGGUGGCCCUUAGCUGUUCAGUGGGUCAGGCUUGGCUCUGUCUUCACCUUCAAGGGGACAGUCCCAUCACCUCUCUGUCAUCUGCAGGCUCUUUUCAAGGACCGAUGUGUUGCAUAAUCCGUGUGUGGUCUGGACCCCGUGAUUCUACUUGGUGACUUCUCAGACAAACAGCAAGACUGAGGGAGGCUCGCGGCUCGAAUUCUUUUGCCAGCCCCUUGUUCUGCAUGCCAGGUUUCUAUACAUGUGGCUGGCAGGGAGUUCGCCUGGGGACAUUACAUGGUUUUGCACAUGGGAUUUGUUAGAAGUUGGAUGAGGGACUGUCUUAUUUCACUUGAUAAUCUCUUAUUGAUGGCUUUGUUCUUUGCUUAAUAUUAAUGAGACUUCCUAUCUCCAUCUUGCUGUGACAGCUUUAUCAACCCUUUUGUGGCUGCAUUUCCAUCCGGGUAAUAGAACUGCCAUCACAUUGCGUUGGCAUAAAUAACAGGAAAAUCCAUGGGUUGGGGAUGUCUGCAAGCCCAGGAGGCUGAGUCUUACAGAAGCUUCCUCCUCUGGUGGGUAAUGUGGAUAUUUGCUGGAUACUCUGAGAUCCGGAGCCACCAUGUCCAAUUCUGACAUGGUGGGAAUUUAUAAAGUCCUUUUAUUCUCUCUGCGUUCAGAUUCUCUAUGCAGUAGAUCCUUCCUUUGGAUCUUGUAGGUGCUGUAGGAGAGAUGCAAGUUUUGGAGUCAGACUCACCUGAUUUGUGUCCUGCCUCUAUGAAUUAAUAAGUAUGAAGUUGCUGAUUAGUAAAAGAAAAAAAGUUUGAAAAUGGCUGUGCUACUCAUAAAGUACUUGUAAACGUUUUACAUGUAGCAUUCCACUAUUUUCACAAUCACUAUAACAGAUGUAUUUUCUUUAUGAAGCAACUGAGUCAUGUACACACACACUCAGGUGUUCACUUUCACUCAAGAACACAUACUUUUUUGUUUUUUAAGAUUUUAUUCAUUUAUUGACAGAGAGAGACAGGGAGAGAGGG